rnacentral:lncRNA from 1 species
AUUGAAUAAUAUUUAUAAAAGAAAAAACUACAGGUAGCUUAAAUAUCCAAUGAAAAAGGAAUAUUCUAUAGAAUCCAUUAUUAAAUAGAUUAAUCCAUCAUUAACCCAUGUCUAUGUGAUAUGUAGCCAUUUAAAAAAUAAAUAAUUCAUAUUUUUAUGAGCCAUUAAAUAGUAUUUUUAAAGCUUAACAUGCUCUCUACUCAUGUUACUUUUUUUCUAAACACAAAAUGUACAGAUGCUACGAUCACAAUUGCGCUAAAGAAGUGUGUGUGUGUGAAGAAAACAGACUAGAAAGAAAUAUAUCAAAAUGACAUUAAUCAUCAUUUGAGUAGAGUUAUUAAGGUUUUUUUUAGUUGCUCUUUCAUUUUUUUUGAGAAGGAGUUUCUCUCCUCACCCAGGCUGGAGUGCAGUGGCCCUAUCUCGGUUCACUGCAACCUCUGCCUCCCGUGUUCAAGCGAUUCUCCUGCCUCAGCCUCUCGAGUAGCUGGGACUACAGGUGUGUGCUACAACGCCUAGCAGAUUUUUGUAUUUUGGGUAGAGAUGGGUUUUCACCAUGUUGGUCAAGCUGGUCUCAAACUCCUGACCUGAGGUGAUCCACCCACCUCGGCCUCGAUCCUGAGACCAAAAUUUUUGGAACCAUUGGAUUGGAUGAAUAA